CCCGCCUUUUUCUUCGUGCCCUUGGAGCGGGUGAGAUGUGGACGAUCGGAGCCGGGCUCGGGGCCUGCCGGGCGGGCAGCGGGGAGCUGCAGGCCCGGCUUGCCGAGCAGAGCGCCCAUACCCGUGACGAGCUAAAGCCCUCGCUCCCCCAGCUCGGCAGUGGUAGCGGCCGCCGGGCCUGCCUGGGCCGCGCGGACCGGGCCGCACCAUUGAAGGGGCGGGGGGGGCCGCGGCCUCACCGCACGUGGCGGCUCACGGCCCUUGUCCCUCAGGCCGCCAUGGAGGCGACACCGGCACCGCGACCCCGCCGGCAGCGCCGGGACCCCGCCAGGGCUGUGGAAGCUUCUCCCCGCAGAAAGAAGAAUAAGAAUGGUAAUUUACUUCUUGUCUUGAAGUAAAGAAUAAGAGCCUGGCCUUCCCACGUGGAUGUGACACAAGAGGACAGGGGACAGGUGGGGAGCUGGCCCUGAUGUGCAGGUAGAGCCUGCAGGUCUCUGCUGCCACGUGCUGGUUGUUGAUGUGCACCCACUGAAGUGACAGCUCUUCACGAGUCCUGUGGAGGGCACUGACACAGCAGAGCAGGACAGUGCUGGGUGGUGCUGCUGGAAACGUCUCUGAGGCAGAAGGACUCCAACAAAACACCUGAGCCUGAGGAUUUUGUGUAGACACAUUUUUCUGCCUGUUACAAAGUGGGAUCACAGUGUUCACAGCUCCAAGUGGGAGAGUUUGGAAUUGACUUCACUGGAUUCCAGAGCAUGAGGAAGAGCUGUUAAUUUUCCAACUCCAUUUCAGAGAAGUGAGGCACAAAGGAGCUGCUGUGUUCCAGCAAGGAAGAACUUUGGUGUUGUGCAAGAAAAGUGUCACAGCAGUCUGCAGUGUUCCACAUCACCUCAUUACAGAUAAGGAACUGGAGCUUGGAGCCGUGCUGAGAGCAGGCAGAGGAUUUGGUCAGUCAUUGGAUAAAGCAAUUUUCCUGAACUGUGUCAAAUCAGGUAUUUUAUUCCUUUCAGCCAUGGCACUAAAUAAUAAACUCUUUGUGCUGAGUGAAAUCCAGGGGAUUCCUGCUGGGAAGAUGAUGGGAAUUGUUUCAAAGCUGGGAGAGAGGUGGGAGCUUUGAAAUGCACAGUGAUGAGAAGCUCCUGCACCAAGGUACCUGCACUUUGAAUUUAAUUUAAUUUAAUCUAUCCAGUCACCUCCCCACCAGCCUGUUUGCUGCUGUGCUUUGGAGGAAGAUGCUCUGUGCUUGCAGGAGGUGAAAUAAAGUGUCUGUGUCAGGGCCAGGCUGUUUGGAAAUGCAAAACAGGAGCUGCAUCAAGGGCAAGGGAUUUCAAAGGUGCUGCUUUUGUGCUUCAAAAAGGUCUUUGGAGAUGACAGCAACAACGUGGUGUCAUUUGGCAACAGGUCAGAGGCUAAAGCUGAGGCAAAAGAGGGGUUUCAGGGAGGAGAAUGGGGCUGAAGAAUCACCAACACCAAAAUGGUUUGAAGAAUGGAUGUGACUCCAGGGUGAGGGGACAGCUCUGUGCUUGUGGCUGCCCCUGCCCUGGAAGUUCAGCCCAUUUUGGGGGUUGGCACAGAAAAAGGAUAAUAUUUGCAUUUCAGCUCCCAGCUCUGCUGUUUCUGUGCCUGUGGUGGAGGGGAGCUCUGAGCCUGCAGGAAAGCACAGCUUGGGAAAAUCCUGAGCCUUGGAAGUGAUCAUUUAACAAGCAGGUGGGAACUGUGAAGGUACAACAACAACAAAAAAAAGGAAUAGCAAGGUCCUCCUCUUGGAAAGUGAUGUGUAAAUGCACACAGCCCCAAGCAGAGACCUUUUAUUUUCUAUGUUUGCAGCCUGUCCACCUCUAGGAUUUUCUGCCUGUUCCUCUACAUGCAGAGUUCCCCAUCAGUGGAAUCCUGUAGGAUCAGGAGUCAGAGCUCUGGGGCAGCAGGUACCAGUGUGAUUGAUUCUUUAACACCUUAUUUUUCAUUUCUUGAGGAGCUGGAAUUGCAGCUCUUACCUGGAGUGAGUUACAAGGAGCAGCUGUCAAAAGGAAGCUCAUUCCUGCACUGUGCAGCUGCAUUUUCCACAUCUGGUGUAGCCCAAUAUCCCAUUGUUUUCCAUCCAUCCCUGAGUCUCUGUAUGCCUAUUUCAGGAAUUUGGGCCUGUAGUAAGAUGCUUUGUGGUUUUAAUUAUGUAGGUUGUGUUUAGAAGGGCUGUGAGUGCUGCUUGCAAAAUCCUAAUCAUUAAGCACCUUCCCCAAAGCCCUGCCCAGACCCAGAGGAACCCUGGUUCUCCCUGGAGAAGACCAGAGCUGACAGGGAGAGCCAGGAAUAAAGUGGUUUUACAGCACACACCUUGAAAACCCAGUGAUAAAUGCCCAGGCCAAAGCUUCAACAAGUUACAUAUUAAUAUUUCUCUCCUCUUUUGUAAACCUCAAAUCUAUUUGUCCUUCCAAUAACAGCUCCCUGAGAGCUGCCACGUGCACCAGGCUCACUGAAGGCUGGGAUUGCUCAUCCCCACAGGUUUAUUUUCUCUUCAGACUGAGUUAAUAAAACAGCAAAGAAGAAAGAUGGCCCAGAAGCCACAGGAUCAAUAAGCUAUUAGGAGCCAAGAAAACUCAGCAAACUGCACACAUAAUUAAAGGCUGUGGUGAACAGGUUGCAUCUUUUCUGACUCUAUUAAAUCAGGUCUUCAGUUUUAUGUAAAACCAUCAACUGAGCUGAAGGUAAAGCCAGCUGUGUCUCUGUGUAUUUACAGAGGGGGAGAUAAAAAAUGCACGCCCAGAACUGCCAGAAAGGACUGGAAACAAAGCACCUCCAAUUCCCCACCCAUCAGGGGUAAUUGAGCCACAGGCUGAUGGAGUUGUCACAUAAAAAGAUGACACUUUAUUCCAAAAUACCUUUCCUGAAGUGCCAGCUUGGGUGAGCCAAGCUCUUGUGUUCCUCCUUGAGAACAAACCCUGUGCUAACAGAAACACAGAUCCCAGAAUGGUUUGGCUUGGAGGGGACCUUAAAGCUUUUUUCAUUCCAACAUUCUGCUGUGGGCAGGGACACCUCCCACUAAUCCAGGUUGUUCCAAGCCAGGGAUUAUCCAUCCAUUUAUUCAUGAUAAUUAAUUAAUAUUAAUGUUAAUGUGCCUGGAGCUGGGCCCCCCCUAGGAAGUGAGACUGGAGCCUGGCUGGAGGCAGUCAGAGCACUGUGAGGGAUGGCUCUGUCCUUCAGAAUUUCCUGUUAAAGACAUUUCAUAGAUCUGGAAAGCUCCUCUCCUCUUGCUCUAUACAGCCUGCUGGUGGAAAUCGUCCCCCAGGCAGAGAGGAACUCCCUUGGAGUGCAGGAAAAGUGGGAUCACAGGACGACAUCCUCGUACCAGAGAGGUCAGGAGGAGAUUUCAUCUCACCAUGGAACACUUCACUGUGGAGGUUGGGUCAGUUGUUUUUACCCCUUUCUCCUAAGCUUUGAUAUGUGAAUUCUGCUAAUAAGGUCAAUUAGUUUCCUUGGCAAUAGCAGAUCCCAGCUAAUGGAGCAGAGGACUCUGUGUUUCCAGGACACAAGUGCUUCUGAGCAUGAGCUCACAAACCUGCUGAAAUGAGGGGUGAUGAACCACAGGAGAGCCCUGGAAGGUUUUUGCUCCUCUCCAAAGGCAGUUUGAGUGGGAUAACCCAGCGUGGUGGCACCACCUGGGGCAGUCCCUGGUCAUUGCUGCCUCCUGUGUCAUCCCCUUAUCCUUUAGGUCACUUUUGGUCACUUUUUUAGGUCACUUCCCCUGGGGAAGGUUGGUGUUUGGGCAAUUUUGCUGACUUCUGCCCCUGAGCAGCAGCAAUGCUUUUGGCCUAAGUAUUUUGAGCUUCUGGACAUCCCCAGAAGUGUUUCUGUGUCUCCCUCUACUCUCCCACACACUCCCUGCUUGGGGGUGACUUUUCCCAGCCCUCUUUCCUGCUCCAAACCAUCACCUGGGAAUGUAACCUUAAUUUUAAAUGAAUAACCACCUUCAAAACACAGGCAGGUUUGGUGCAAACUCUUCCCAGAUCACCCAGCUGGAAGGAGCUCUCCAGCCCUUUCAUGCCUCUCUCCUCCCUCUCUCAUUCCCCACCUGCUGUUUCUAUUCCCCUCGCUGUGGGCUCCUCAAUCUGCACAAAAUGAUUUCCAAUUACAUUUUUGUUGCUGAGGGCAUAAAUCUCCUCCCCAGACUGGUUUGCUUCAUGCCCAGGCAGAGCUGUGGUGCUGGUGGAGAGAGAACCAACCAAGCCAGGCUGAGGCGUUUUAUGCUUUAUUUAUUUUAUGGUGGCCCUUUCCUCCCUUCCUUGACAAGAAAUGACCUCAUUCUGCUUUAAUAUUCUAACAGCAGUGAUUUUCAGUCCUUGAAUCCUUCAUCUAAGGCCAGUUAAAAGCUUCUGACCCGAAGCAGCAGCCCAGUGUAGCCCAGGGAACAUUGAUUAUACGUGGAGUGAGCCCUGAGCUUGUUUUGAUGUUGAUGAGCUGGGAAGGGAAGCGUCUCACUUUGCUUUCUUUAAAAAAAAACCCAACCAAACCCCACUCUGUGCUGAGCCCACAGGAUCAUCAUUAUCCUGAAGUGCACUAAGUGGAUAAUUGAACUAAUCCACACUGCGAGGAAGGCACUGAUGAGCCAAAGCUUUUAUAACCAACGCUCUCUACAACAACUCUGCUUUUUUCCCCCUUUUUCCAUGAAAGUAACUUGGUGCAUCCUCCAGCAUGCACGGAUGCAUUGAUAAAAAUCCCUUUCUAGCUCUUUCUCUGACUCAGAAGGGCUGAAUCCUCACUGGGCACAGGGAUAUCGUCAGCACCAGUGGAGCAGAGGUGGCUCAAGCAGUGCAGCACCUGCACGGGGCAAAGGCUGUGGGAUUUGGGAUCUCUCUUUGGAGAUACUCAAAUUAUUUCUCCAUGGCCUCAUGUGUUUCCCAGCAGGUGGAAGCUGAGCUGGAGGGGAAUAAUUUAAACAGGCAGAGGGGCUUGAGCUGUGCAUGAGGAGGAGAGGAGCCCAGUACUGAGGUACCUGGGUAGAAAGAAGGAAUUGCUGCAGUUUUUUUUUCUUUUUUUUUUAAUUUUUUCUGCAAAGAGAAAUCUUGUUCUUGAUUAAAUCCCCCUAUGUUCCCCCCAGCUCCUUGGCCCCCAUGGUUUGUUGCUGGGACAGAGCUGCAAAUAAACAGCCUUUUUUCCUUCAGUGCACUAAUACUGGAGAUAAACACCCUGUGGAGCACUACCCCACUCUCAGCAUUCCUUUCUCCCACAUUAUUUCACACACUGGCAAUAUUAAAAUUUAAAAGAUGCUUUUAUGAUGCUUCUGUGUCCACCUUGUACCCACCCUGAAGAAUCCAGCCCAUAAACUGAGCUCUUUAUUUCUCCAGCAGCUCUCAGCACUGCCUUGUCCUCUCUUUUUUCCUGGGCAUUCAACCUGGACAGAGGAAAAAUUCAGCACUGGGUCUUUAUUAAACAUUAUCAUUUA